GAAAAUUAAAACUGGCAAAGAAAUAUUAAUGUUUGCAAUAUCAACGUACCCUAUAUGAAAUAUUCAUUUGUAUGUGACAUGUAAAAAAAUCUCAUUAUAGAAGAGAGGCAAAAGAUACCAGAGAGAAAGUCAAACCCAUAGAUCGAAAAUAAACUGACACUGCCAUGGAUAAAAAAAGAAAAAAGACGAACAGAUAAAUAAUAUUACACGAGACACAACAGAGAAAACUAAAGAC
rnacentral:lncRNA from 1 species